UACGUAGGGUGCGAGUGUUGUCCGGAAUUAUUGGGCGUAAAGAGCUCGUAGGCGGUUAGUCGCGUCUGCUGUGAAAACUCGGGGCUUAACUCCGGGCCUGCAGUGGGUACGGGCUGACUAGAGUGCGGUAGGGGAGACUGGAAUUCCUGGUGUAGCGGUGAAAUGCGCAGAGUAUCAGGAGGAACACCGGUGGCGAAGGCGGAUCUCUGGGCCGAUACUGACGCUGGAGGAGCGAAAGCGUGGGGAGCGAACAGG
rnacentral:rRNA from 1 species